GAUGAACGCUGGCGGCGUGCCUAAUACAUGCAAGUCGAGCGAACGGACGAGAAGCUUGCUUCUCUGAUGUUAGCGGCGGACGGGUGAGUAACACGUGGAUAACCUACCUAUAAGACUGGGAUAACUUCGGGAAACCGUAGCUAAUACCGGAUAAUAUUUUGAACCGCAUGGUUCAAAAGUGAAAGACGGUCUUGCUGUCACUUAUAGAUGGAUCCGCGCUGCAUUAGCUAGUUGGUAAGGUAACGGCUUACCAAGGCAACGAUGCAUAGCCGACCUGAGAGGGUGAUCGGCCACACGGGAACUGAGACACGGUCCAGACUCCUACGGGAGGCAGCAGUAGGGAAUCUUCCGCAAUGGGCGAAAGCCUGACGGAGCAACGCCGCGUGAGUGAUGAAGGUCUUCGGAUCGUAAAACUCUGUUAUUAGGGAAGAACAUAUGUGUAAGUAACUGUGCACAUCUUGACGGUACCUAAUCAGAAAGCCACGGCUAACUACGUG
rnacentral:rRNA from 1 species